UGGGACGUCUCUUGUCCUAGUUAUUUUCUGCUUUUAGCUUUGUCUGGAAGAAGUUUUGGUUUUUUGGAGAUACUUGGUAUAAUUUACUAUUUUCUUCAGACCUGGGAAGAACAUUUUGAUGGCUGCAGGUGGUUUUUAUCUACUGUUCAGUCAUGUUCCAUUUUGAAGAACAGGAUGCUCAUUUCUUGGGUAUACGGAUUGGUUCAUACCCGAAUUAAUGGUUACAAAAACUGGAGACAUUGCUACAAUCCGACGAUGAUGACCAAGCCAGAUUCCUCUUGUUUGCCAUGGAAGGCCCUUUCUGGCAACCUGGCAUAUUUUUUCGGACAUCCUUGGGAUAGAUGGAAGUUCUGUGAGGGCCUUUAUCUCGCCUGGCAACCGGAGCUUCCUCCUGCGCUGGACGGUUUUCACUGAAUGAGUUUUUGUUGACUGGAACUGGCUUAUUUUGCCUGAGUCUAUUUGAUUGUUUUAUGUCUCCUUUGUAACUAUUAGUUUUGGGCUUUGUUCUAUUGUUCUUAGCUUUUCUAUUUUAUAGGUUUUCUCCUGCUUAUCCAGGAUUCCCUCUGUAAUUUUUUCUGAUUUUAAUACAAUGGGCUUUGCCCCGGGUUUUCCCAAAAAAAAAAACUAAAGGGGCGAAGGGCAGAAGUCGGAAGGGUUUCACGCGCAAGGAUUCAGCAGUUCAGCGGUUCAGACGAAAGCUUUCUUCUAAUCUCGUUGGAACGCCGAAAGCCUACACUUCACCUUCAGCGGCUCACGGCGGCUUGUGACGGAUCGGCGACAGUCGGCUGCCCGCAAAUACUGGCUCUCCCAACAAAUCAAACGGAUGCGGUCAUAUAGGGUUUCUUCUUUGGACGGGAGCAUUUCCAUACCAGCUAGAGUAUUCAUUCAACUCUAAUCAUGUAAUGCUCGAUGUGCCUUGUCGACUAUGAAGAUGAGGAGGAAGGGGAGGAUAAGCCAUAGCUGCCAUAUUAAGGCUUUUACCAGAUUGUGGGCAUUUAUUUCAUGCCAUGGGUGUGGAUCCAUGGUUACGAUAACCUCCAACUUGUCCGAUGUGUCAGUCAUUGGUGAUGAAUGGUGCCGCGCCUAUGCCUUUAGCUGGAUCGAGUGCAAACCUUGGAAGCCUAAGCUUCUUCUUUGACUGCUGGUAUCAUGUUUGCACUUCAAUCUGUUCUUGUGUUUAGCUGGAGAAAAAGAAAAAAAAAAUCUGAGACAGCUAGAUGGGAGGACCGGAAUUGACGACAAACAGAAGAUGCAUAAACAGCUUACUUGUAGAGAGCAGGCGGCAGGAGAGCACCACGGGGAAAAACACAUCAGUUAAAUCUAUGUCGUGCUUGAAGAUUAAUUCUAGGGGAGCAUUUGAGCAAAAUUGAUUUGUAAAUAUCUAAAAGUGCAAUUGGUUUGUAAAUAUUUUGUAAGCAAUUGAUAUGUAAUAUUGUGGUUUCACUGAUUUGUAAAUGAUUUAUUAAUUGUAAAUUGUAAAUCAACCUCCUGUAA